rnacentral:rRNA from 1 species
CCUACGGGCGGCUGCAGUGGGGAAUAUUGCACAAUGGGCGCAAGCCUGAUGCAGCCAUGCCGCGUGUGUGAAGAAGGCCUUCGGGUUGUAAAGCACUUUCAGCGGGGAGGAAGGCGUUAAGGUUAAUAACCUUGGCGAUUGACGUUACCCGCAGAAGAAGCACCGGCUAACUCCGUGCCAGCAGCCGCGGUAAUACGGAGGGUGCAAGCGUUAAUCGGAAUUACUGGGCGUAGAGCGCACGCAGGCGGUCUGUCAAGUCGGAUGUGAAAUCCCCGGGCUCAACCUGGGAACUGCAUUCGAAACUGGCAGGCUAGAGUCUUGUAGAGGGGGGUAGAAUUCCAGGUGUAGCGGUGAAAUGCGUAGAGAUCUGGAGGAAUACCGGUGGCGAAGGCGGCCCCCUGGACAAAGGCUGACGCUCAGGUGCGAAAGCGUGGGGAGCAAACAGGAUUAGAUACCCGUGUAGUC